UAUUAUAUUAAUUUAAAUAUAAGUUAAAUUUUCAUUUGCUUUUGGAUCCAGUCAAUUCUCAUUUUUAAAGUUAUUAUUAAUUGUAAUAUAAAUUAAACUUUAGCAACCCGUUAUAUAUAUUUUAUAUUUAAACGUUGUUAUCCAAAUAGUCGCUUUUAUUGUAAUUUUUUAUUAAAAGGUACGUAUUAAUUUUUAUAAAUUAAUACGCAAAAAUAUAUUUUAUUAUUAACUUUUGAUAGAACAAGUAUUAUUUUAUUUUAUUAUAUAGUUUUAAUUUGGGUGUUUCCCCAUUUUCUGCUCCGAGUUACGCUUUUACCCCUAUAUUAAUAUCCCCCUACACGUUUCCUCGAUUCUUUUUUAUUUUAUUAUACGUAGUAAUAAUAGUUAAAAGAAUAUUAAUAUUUUUAAUAUAUUACGCCGUUUUUAUAAAAUAUUUGAAUUUCUACAUUGUUAAUAAAUACUUGUAUUUUUGCAGUAAUUAGACAUUUUUUACCCAGGGUAUUAGGGUAAUUAAAGUUAAUAUAACUCCCUAUUUUAAUAUAAUUUUUAUUUAACCCGUUAUUUUGAAAACUUAUAUUAACUGUAAUAAUAUUAACACUUUGAUUUACGCCGUGGGACGCGUUGAUAAACCCGUGUCCAACCGCUGUUUGCAGACUUUUAAUAUAAAACUUUCAACUAGGCGAGAUAAUUUAUAAUCCGCAAAUCUUUAGGAGGGUUGCAACGUUUGCUUUUUUUGGGUUUUUAAAAGAAAAGCGAUUUUGUUUUAUUUAAUAAAUAAAUACAAAAGGGUUUUUGCAAAAUAUUUACAAUUUGAAAGUAAAUUUACUAUUAUUAUAUUAUGUUCAAUUGGUGCGCAAAUAAAUUUUGCAAAUAUAUUAAUUGCAUAUUAAUUUACAAAGCGCUUUUCUAUUUUAAUUAGUAAUUUUCGUAAACUUUGGCUAGUAACGUUCAAUAUGCUAUUUAUUAAGUAAAUACAAAAUCCGCAGUAAAUUUUAUAUUUAAAUCCUUUUAUAUAUUUUCAAAUGUAAAUUAGAGAUAAUUAUAUAAUAUAUUUAAACUGGAAUUUGUUAAGGGGUUACCGUGUUGUUAAAAGGUUUUAAUUUAUCUAUUUUAUUAUACGGAUAGCGUAUUUAACCUUUUUAAUUGAAAAAUUUAAAUAUUACCAAAUAACCCUUCUGGGCGGUUUAUAUUAUAUUUAAAAACAACUUAAUAUAAAUAAAAAUAAAUUUGUUAAAUUUUCCCUAUUAUAUAAUUUAGUUUAAAUAGAAUUUUAAAUAGGUUUUGCGGAUUAAUAAUAGCGGUUAUACUUUUAUAAGUAUAAUAGACAUUCUUUUUUAAAAGACGUUUUAUAUUAUAUAUUGCUAAUUAUAUAAAUAAAUACCGCGAGAUUUAUUUGAGAAGAUUAUUUAAUUUAUCCUAAUAAUUUCUUUUAUACGGGCCGCGCUUUAAAAAGCCCCAGGCGCUAUUACGUUUCCGGGGGGUAAUUCUAAAAAGUGUUUUUAUUAUACCCCGGCAAUUUAAGCUGGUAUAUUCUCGGCUUUUGUCUAAUAUUAUAAAGAAAUAUAUUAUUUGCAAUUUAUAUCUUAUUUAAUUAUAUUUGCGGAGCUGUAAUAAUAUACGUUUGUACUAGUAAUUUUAUAUAAUAAUAUAUUUAAUAUUAAAAGUUAGUAAAAUGAAGCAUUUAUAAGUCUUAAUUAUUAAGAAUAUACUUUUAUUGCUAAUAUGGGAGGGACUUUAUAUGCGGUUAGCUUUAAGGUAAUUAAAUAAGUAUAUUACUGUAUUUAAUAUUUAAAAAGUAAAUUUUAAACAAAAUGUAAAAUUAUAUUUGUUAUAAUUAAUAUAUUGCAGUAAACUGUUUUUAUAAUAAGGUAUAAUAAGUGAAAAAAUCGACUAUUUGGCGUAGUAAUUGAAGUUUUCAACAACUGGGAUAAAACUUCUAUUAUUAUUAUUAAUAUGUAAAAUUAACCAAAUUAUAUAAUUUAUUACUAGGAAAAGAUUUUAAAAUGGACUUUAUUAAUAUAAUAACAAACCUGUUUUAUAUUAAUUAUAUUUCAAAUAUAAAACUUUUCAUUAUUUAUUAAUUGUUUAGUAUUAGUUUUCUAGCGUUCGCUAUAACCUUUACAAAUUAUUAAAAAUUAAAGUGGGAGAAUAUAUAAUAUUAUUUAAUUUCUUCUCUAUAUAUAAUUUCUUUAGGCAGUAGUUAUUAAAAUGGGUAUAACCCCAACGAAUUUCCCUGGUAAAAGUCCAACUUUUUCAUCGUAAUAUAAAAUUUCCUUUAUUUUACCAAACUUUCUCUGGCUUUAUAUAUUUUAUAUUUCCUCGAUGUUCAAUCUUGGUUUUGUUUAUUUAUCACCAAUUUUCGAACUUUAAACUAAAUUAUCUAAUUAAGCGGAAAUUCAACUGUUUGUUAAUAUAAUCUUACCACGUAUUUUAAUCCCCUUUUUGUUAAUUAUUAUUAUUAAAAUGUUACUAAUAACCCCUGCGGCCUAUAAAAUAUAAUAUUUAAUCGAACUUUUUUAGGGUUUUAUUAUUGCGAUAAAUUUGUUUAAAUUAUCCGGGUUGCAGUAUAUUAGGUGUUUUGGCUGCUAAAAUACGUAAUACUAGGCGUUAAUACUUCGAGUUGGACGCGGAAAUCGAGGGUUCUAAAACACAAAUUUACACGGAAUAGGCUAAUUUAAUUCCUUUGCAAAAAUAUAAAAAUGUAAUAACGUGACAAAAAAAGAAUAAAACUUGUAAUAUACGAAAUUAAUAAUUAGAAAACAAGUGAAAUAUAAAGAAUAAAGCGGAGGGAACGGCAAUUAAUAAUUAAAAUUUUAUUUAAAGUAAUUUUAAUUUUAUUCCUUUUAAAUUUUAAUUUUAUUUGGGAUUUGACUUUCCUAACAAAUUUGCUAAAGUUUCUUUUGCUGAAACAAAUAAAGGUUUUUAUAAAAUAUUUUACGAGUAAAUCCUUGAUAAGUUGUCCUCUAAUAUUAAUAAAUUUAUUUUUGAAUCCAAUUUGUAUUUAUAUUAACAGAAGAGCUCCUAACAAUUUUGGAAAUAAUUAAACAAUUCCUAGCAUUUUCUAAUAUUAGUAAUUUUCCCAUUUAAUAUAAUAUUUUAUUUUGCCGUAAUACCUUUUAUAAUUAAAUAUUUGCUUAAUAUUACAAAUUUAUUUUACUUUGGUUUUGGUUAACCUUUACGUAUUAAUAAUAGACGGUAUUUAUUCUAAUAAUAGCUUAUAAAAUAUCAUGUGGACUUUUAAUAGUUGGUUGUAGUAAUUUCUAAUUAGUGCUAUUAUUUUUGUUAAACUAUAGCAUAUUUACACUUUUUAAAAUUUAUUUCCUAUUGAAUUCCUAUAUUAUUAUAUUAUAUUAAAAUUAAAACCGGUAAUACACCGGUUUAAUUAUUAAAAGCCCGCUUAUAUAUACGUUACCCUCGCAAUAUAUAUUUUGGAAACGCAUUUUCUAAUAAAUGGUGCGUAUUUUUAAUAAUUAAAAUUUAUAUACUUUACACCCAAAAUACGUUACCAGGCCAGAAGUUUUACACAGACUUCCACAAUUUUAAAAAAGGGAAAUAUACCCAAGAAUUUAUAACCCGCAAUAAUAAUUUUGCGUUUAAUAAUAAAAAAUAUAAUAUAGGGUAUAUAUUUAUUUAAUUUCCCGGAAUAUAAUAAAAAGGUUUUUACAAAUUCGUUACAGGAAAAAGAAAUAACGGCUAAUAUACUUCAAACCGCGGUCCUCGAAAGGUGAAACUUAUUAUCAAAAAUCGAAUAAUUUCUCUGAAUAAAUUUUGCGGUAUUAACCGAUUUAAUACGCAACUUAUAUUAAUACGAACUGGGUUUUUAUAAAAAGAAUAUUAAUAUUUAUAAAAAAGCCCCACAAUAAUAAAUCUGCAAUACGCAAUUAGGUUUUCUCAAAAAUAACUUACGUGGUAUCGAAAGUUUAAUAAAUUAUAUUUAUAUUUAUAUUAAUUUAUCUUCGAAUAAAGGUGAAAAAUAAUACAGAGUUACUAUACUGCCCUAAAAUUAAAUACGAAAAGUUAAAUUAAAAUUAACAAAUUAAUUUAACUUGAAUUAUUUAAAUAUUCUUUUAUAUUUUAAAAUACAAUUCUCAAUAUAAACUUAAUAUUUAUAUAAUUAAUAUUUAUUUACUAAACUUAUAAUACGGUAUUAUAUAAGUAUAUAUUUAUUAAAUUUGUAUUUAUUUAUGCUAAAAUAUAUUUUUCACCUCUUUUACUUCGUUUUCCUAUUUAAAUAAAUUAUUUAUAUUAUAAUUUUUAAUAAUAUUAAUUUUGUUUCAAAACAUUUCUACUUAAUAUAUUACGUGCGGGGGUAAUUAUAAUUAUAAUAAUAUAAAAUAUAACUUUUAUUAUAACCGGUGUAAUUGGAAUAUUGAAAUAUUUUCGUGCUAAGAGGUUUAAUAUAAAAUAUCGGUUUUUAUUAUUUUUUCAAAAUAAUAAUAUAUAACCUUUCCGUAUAACUGCGAAUUUGGAUAUAAAAUAUAUUUGGGGUAUUUUAAUUAUUUUGUACCUUGUAAUAAAUCGAGGUCCAAAUUGUUAUAAUUGCUAUAAAAAGUAUUAUUUAAAUUAUUAAAUAAGGAAUUCUCCAUAUUAUUACUAGUAUUUA
rnacentral:sRNA from 1 species